GAGCGGAGUUGGGGGUUGUUGCGAGCCCUGGAGGGGAGAGGAGACGGGGAGGCGACGGGAUGGGGCCAGCUGGGAAGGGGACGCGAGGCUCCAGGCUGGACUCCGCUCUCUGCCCCCUCCCGGACUCGGCUGUCUGUCCCCUCCCUCCAGACAGGGUCUGCUGACCACCGCGUGGCCUGGGAGUCUCCGGUGGCCUAGGGGAAGUGAAGCGCGGCCCUGGGGAAGGCCUGGAGCAACCCAUCCCCAGAACUCCCACGAGGGGGCGUCCCAACCCGUCUUCGACUGUUGGCCAAAAUGCGCUGCCAAUGCUGGCAGCCUUACGCAGUGCCCGCGGGGGAUAUGAGGCCCCCCGCGCGGCCCUGAACCCCACCGGAUUCCCCAGGCCGGCCCGACCGCCCCCACCUAGUCCCUGGCCCCGCGGGUGCAACCCCCGACACUAACGGCCUUUACGCGACAUCCGAGCAGCGUGUCUAUCCCAAAGGCCUAGGAGCAUUUGCCCAGCUCGGUCAAAUCUAGCACAAGUUUGAAGCCUGCGGCCUCGCAAUUUUAGCAGCUUCGUUCCAGGCCAGGAGUCUCUGUGGAGUCUUCUUGAAUAAGCUGUGAAACAUUUCCCCACCCGCUUGCCUUUCUUGGCCCAGGCUUCCUGACCACAGCCUCACCUUUGAGCAGCUCAGAGCCCUGCCUGCCAGGAUGGGAGCCACUGCCUGGAUCGUGGCUCUGCAGGGCCACCCAUGAUGGAACAGGUCGCCUGGAUGCCCACCACCUCCAUGCCGAGAGGAGGGGGCCACAGCCCUGGCAUGCAGCCCUGCCCAGUAGCCCGGCACCUGCCCCUGCCACGCAGGAGGCCCCCCGGCCUGCCAGCAGCCUCAGGCCUCCCCGCUGUGGCGUGCCCGACCCACCUGAUGGGCUGAGUGCCCGCAACCGACAGAAGAGGUUCGUGCUUUCUGGCGGGCGCUGGGAGAAGACGGACCUCACCUACAGGUAGGGGCCUGGGAGCAGGACACUAGGAUGCCACCUGUGUGUCCGUGGGUAAGCCAGCUGCCCUCACAGCUGCUGCUUGAGACACAGGCCAGGGUGGAUCUUCGUGUCUAACAGACCUGUGUGUCCACUGAACCCCAGGGAGGUCAUCUAUGGGCAAACCCCCUGAAACCCCAACUUAGACACAUACACAUAUGGAGACCCUCCCUCAGCAGAGGGGCAGAGCCUCCGUCAUCAUGCAAAGAGUCGCAGCACAUGCCUGCGGACGGGUGUUCAGUCACUCAGGCAGCCUUUACAAGAGACCUGUGAGGACCAGGCUCUGGGACUCCACGGUGAAUGAGGCAGACACAGCCCCAUCCUCUGUGUCACUCUGAGGUGGGUGUCAGCCAUGUCAUUGUCCAACUGUACCAUCACAACUUGGGCUUCGAGCAGGUGGAGACAGUGGUAAGCGGGGAGAGGCAAUAGUGGGCAUCUCACUGGGUGACCUGGGAGGACCCUGGGCAGGUGAUGGGGAAGCUGAGGCUCACACAUCCUGCGGGUGGGGACCCAGCCUGAAGAAUGGGCUGGUGUCACACAGCAUUGGAGCUGAGACUGGGGUCUUUAGAAUUUCCUAGGUGGGGGCCUGGGAACCAACCGGGGCUCAAGGAACCAAGGUGUCCCCACAGUGAGUGGCACUGUCAGGUCUAGGAUGGGGGUCUCGGGACCCCUGGUCCUGGUUCUUUCCACUGAAUGCAGACACUUGUAUUUGCCUAAGUAUGAGCAAACCACAUACACAUGUGCCCAUGUGGCCAGGGAGACCAGUGCGCUGAAGCUGAGGCCCAGAGUACACCUGGCCUGUGUCCUGAGUGUUCACACACCCACCAAGCAUCCAGGGGCAACUCCUGGUGCCUCAGCCAUCGGGGGCUGUCCCUUCCCUGAGGCCCAGGCCCCUCCAUCUCCCUCCAGGAUCCUUCGGUUCCCAUGGCAGUUGGUGCAGGAGCAGGUGCGGCAGACGAUGGCAGAGGCCCUAAAGGUAUGGAGCGAUGUGACGCCACUCACCUUCACUGAGGUGCACGAGGGCCGUGCUGACAUUGUGAUCGACUUCGCCAGGUGAAUGGGCGGCCUGGGACCCCUCCGGGAACAGCCUCGCCUGCCAGCAGCCACUGACCCCGCCCCCACCCAUCUGUAGGUACUGGCAUGGGGACGACCUGCCGUUUGAUGGGCCUGGGGGCAUCCUGGCCCAUGCCUUCUUCCCUAAGACUCACCGAGAAGGGGAUGUCCACUUCGACUAUGAUGAGACCUGGACUAUCGGGGAUGACCAGGGCACAGACCUGCUGCAGGUGGCAGCCCAUGAAUUUGGCCACGUGCUGGGGCUGCAGCACACAACAGCAGCCAAGGCCCUGAUGUCUGCCUUCUACACCUUUCGCUACCCACUGAGUCUCAGCCCAGAUGACCGCAGGGGCGUUCAACACCUAUAUGGCCAGCCCUGGCCCACUGUCACCUCCAGGACCCCAGCCCUGGGCCCCCAGGCUGGGAUAGACACCAAUGAGAUUGCACCGCUGGAGCCAGACGCCCCGCCAGAUGCCUGUGAGGCCUCCUUUGACGCGGUCUCCACCAUCCGAGGCGAGCUCUUUUUCUUCAAAGCGGGCUUUGUGUGGCGCCUGCGUGGGGGCCAGCUGCAGCCUGGCUACCCAGCAUUGGCCUCUCGCCACUGGCAGGGACUGCCCAGCCCUGUGGACGCUGCCUUCGAGGAUGCCCAGGGCCACAUUUGGUUCUUCCAAGGUGCUCAGUACUGGGUGUACGACGGUGAAAAGCCAGUCCUGGGCCCCGCACCCCUCACCGAGCUGGGCCUGGUGAGGUUCCCGGUCCAUGCUGCCUUGGUCUGGGGUCCCGAGAAGAACAAGAUCUACUUCUUCCGAGGCAGGGACUACUGGCGUUUCCACCCCAGCACCCGGCGUGUAGACAGUCCCGUGCCCCGCAGGGCCACUGACUGGAGAGGGGUGCCCUCUGAGAUCGACGCUGCCUUCCAGGAUGCUGAUGGCUAUGCCUACUUCCUGCGCGGCCGCCUCUACUGGAAGUUUGACCCUGUGAAGGUGAAGGCUUUGGAAGGCUUCCCCCGUCUCGUGGGUCCCGACUUCUUUGGCUGUGCCGAGCCUGCCAACACUUUCCUCUGACCAUGGCUUGGAUGCCCUCAGGGGUGCUGACCCCUGCCAGGCCACGAAUAUCAGGCUAGAGACCCAUGGCCAUCUUUGUGGCUGUGGGCACCAGGCAUGGGACUGAGCCCAUGUCUCCUCAGGGGGAUGGGGUGGGGUACAACCACCAUGACAACUGCAGGGAGGGCCACGCAGGUCGUGGUCACCUGCCAGCGACUGUCUCAGACUGGGCAGGGAGGCUUUGGCAUGACUUAAGAGGAAGGGCAGUCUUGGGCCCGCUAUGCAGGUCCUGGCAAACCUGGCUGCCCUGUCUCCAUCCCUGUCCCUCAGGGUAGCACCAUGGCAGGACUGGGGGAACUGGAGUGUCCUUGCUGUAUCCCUGUUGUGAGGUUCCUUCCAGGGGCUGGCACUGAAGCAAGGGUGCUGGGGCCCCAUGGCCUUCAGCCCUGGCUGAGCAACUGGGCUGUAGGGCAGGGCCACUUCCUGAGGUCAGGUCUUGGUAGGUGCCUGCAUCUGUCUGCCUUCUGGCUGACAAUCCUGGAAAUCUGUUCUCCAGAAUCCAGGCCAAAAAGUUCACAGUCAAAUGGGGAGGGGUAUUCUUCAUGCAGGAGACCCCAGGCCCUGGAGGCUGCAACAUACCUCAAUCCUGUCCCAGGCCGGAUCCUCCUGAAGCCCUUUUCGCAGCACUGCUAUCCUCCAAAGCCAUUGUAAAUGUGUGUACAGUGUGUAUAAACCUUCUUCUUUUUUUUUUUUUUAAACUGAGGAUUGUCAUUAAACACAGUUGUUUUCUA
rnacentral:sRNA from 1 species